rnacentral:rRNA from 1 species
ACAUCCAGAGAACUUAGCAGAGAUGCUUUGGUGCCUUCGGGAACUCUGAGACAGGUGCUGCAUGGCUGUCGUCAGCUCGUGUUGUGAAAUGUUGGGUUAAGUCCCGCAACGAGCGCAACCCUUAUCCUUUGUUGCCAGCGGUUCGGCCGGGAACUCAAAGGAGACUGCCGGUGAUAAACCGGAGGAAGUGGGGAUGACGUCAAGUCAUCAUGGCCCUUACGGCCAGGGCCACACACGUGCUACAAUGGCGCAUACAAAGAGAAGCGACCUCGCGAGAGCAAGCGGACCUCAUAAAGUGCGUCGUAGUCCGGAUUGGAGUCUGCAACUCGACUCCAUGAAGUCGGAAUCGCUAGUAAUCGUAGAUCAGAAUGCUACGGUGAAUACGUUCCCGGGCCUUGUACACACCGCCCGUCACACCAUGGGAGUGGGUUGCAAAAGAAGUAGGUAGCUUAACCUUCGGGAGGGCGCUUACCACUUUGUGAUUCAUGACUGGGGUGAAGUCGUAACAAGGUAAGCGUAGCGAG